rnacentral:misc_RNA from 1 species
UUGGUUUUUGUGACAAAGUACACUGCCAUGCAUACUCCACCAAUCAUGUCCAGAAUGACUGAAUUAACUAGCAGUCACUUCCUUAUCUAAAACUUUGAUUCUAUUUCCUCUUUCUGCAGCUUUUCUUUUUGCUUGAAUUUGACGCACAUAUUCUGCUACUAUCACAUGGAACUUAGGAGCAAGUUUACUUGAUGAGGAAACAUUAAGACCUGCUUUCUUCAAAGCCCGAGUUACAUGCUUCUGAGCCUUUUGGAAGUGUACAGUGCAGAGAGAAGGAACAGUUGAUCUCAAUAUUGGCUUUCCACAUGUUAUAGGUCCUGACUGAGCACUAGAGGUACAGCCAAUCAAUCAAACAUAUAUCGUCAGUGGAAAAGUGAUCAUGCACAAGAUAACAAAUUUUCAUAGUUGGAAGCAUGAGAUCACAAUAUAAAUUAGCAAUUGCACACUAGUCACUACCAAAUGCAGAUCAACACAUGAAAUACGCUAUUUGAACACAUCUUGAUGCAGAAAACAAUUCGCCAAUUAACUGAUCUUUGAGAGAUAUAGCCACCAAUUGUCCCUCGAAUAAUAAAAUGCUAAAAAUUAUAACAGCUUGAAUAGCAAUCUGGCUUCAGAAUUGUUUUUAUCAUUCUUCAAGAUAGGGCGAAAGAAAGGUUCAAAAGCUAGGAUGAAAGAUUUUAGGAUCAAAUUUCAGUCUUAAUAGCUAACUCUACUUUAGCAUGAAGCAAAACAAGUAUAGGGGCGAAAAUAUGUAUUUAUGUACACACGUUUCUUCUCACUUGUUCUAUGUGAUAAUACAGCAAUUUUAUCACUAGAUGCAGUUGCUGUGACAUAAUAACAGUAUAAAAAAAAAGGAUUAAGACAGAUAGGUACAAUUACAACUAAACUUUAACUUAUACAAGAAUCAAACUGCUUCUCUAGCCACAUUAUAAUUUUUUCUAUCAUGAAAUGUUGAGUUAAUUAACCACUAUAAGAAUAAAAAAUGGCAACAGUUAGAUAAAAAAUAAUGGAACAGCAUUAUUUUCUAUGAUAACAAACAAUCAAAAGAAAUUGAAAAUAAUGGAAUUAAAAAGGAAUGCCCAUUAAAGAAAUAAUCAAAAGAAAAACCAAAGUAGAAUAGAGCAAAAUAAAACCUCUUGAUGACAUAACCGCAAGGCUUGUAGAGCUUCUGCUUGGCAUCAGAGAGAAUAUGCAAAUGACAAAAACUAUUCAAAGCCAUGGCCUUUAGCUUACACCCCACAAACAGACACCGAUGAUUGUUCUUCAAAUCCAAAUCGCCCAUAUAAUUAGAAAUAGCAUUAUUACCAUUAACAUUAUUAUUUUCACCAAUAACUUCAAUAUUAACACUACCGCUUUCUACCUCUCCACUUUCUACAGCGCAGCCUUGCUCUAGCUUUUGUUGUUGUAGCAG